rnacentral:rRNA from 1 species
AACGAACGCUGGCGGCAUGCCUAACACAUGCAAGUCGAACGAGACCUUCGGGUCUAGUGGCGCACGGGUGCGUAACGCGUGGGAACCUGCCCUUAGGUUCGGAAUAACUCCCCGAAAGGGGUGCUAAUACCGGAUAAUGUCUUCGGACCAAAGAUUUAUCGCCUUUGGAUGGGCCCGCGUUGGAUUAGCUAGUUGGUAGGGUAAAAGCCUACCAAGGCGACGAUCCAUAGCUGGUCUGAGAGGAUGAUCAGCCACACUGGGACUGAGACACGGCCCAGACUCCUACGGGAGGCAGGAGUGGGGAAUAUUGGACAAUGGGCGAAAGCCUGAUCCAGCAAUGCCGCGUGAGUGAUGAAGGCCUUAGGGUUGUAAAGCUCUUUUACCCGGGAUGAUAAUGACAGUACCGGGAGAAUAAGCUCCGGCUAACUCCG